rnacentral:rRNA from 1 species
UACAGAGGGGGCAAGCGUUGUUCGGAAUUACUGGGCGUAAAGGGCGCGUAGGCGGCCUGCUAAGUCGAACGUGAAAUCCCUGGGCUCAACCCAGGAACUGCGUCCGAUACUGGUUGGCUUGAAUCCGGGAGAGGGAUGUGGAAUUCCAGGUGUAGCGGUGAAAUGCGUAGAUAUCUGGAGGAACACCGGUGGCGAAGGCGACAUCCUGGACCGGUAUUGACGCUGAGGCGCGAAAGCCAGUGGAGCAAACGGG